UCACGUGACUCUCACUCCACGCCCGGGGGAUAGCAACACCCAAAAAUGCGAGGCCUAGUGCUGCCACGUAGCGACCGUCCUUUUGAGCCAUGCGAACGGGUUGUGUGAUUUUGUGUUAUUUUCAGAUUUUCUGUGGUUUCUUACCAUUAUCACUAGUAAGCUGCAGCACUUUUCUGCAAUCCGUGUGCUUUUUUUUGUCCCUUUAUAAGAGGGACUAGGGGACAUAUCUGAAAUUUAUAGCAAAGAGGAAACUGCACACAUGAUAUGUAGCAUUGUAGGCUACUCGCGUCGUAUUCUCUUGUGACUGUUGACUGAUGAUCAAUCAGCGUGAGUCAUAAUCAUUGACAUUGCAUCAAGUAAUCUUCUGUGAAAACACUAAAAAGUCGGACCAUGUAUAUCAUUACGGAAUGUGAGACUGAGAUGAGCCUGACUGGGUCAAAACCUGAUAUCAAAUCAAUCGUAAUUUAUGAGAACCGCUGCCGGUUUGCAUUGUUACAGCUUAGCCAACAAAGCUAACCACAACAGAUACAAUGGCUGAUGACAGAUGGGUGGAACGCUGCAGACUGGAGCAUGAAAGCAGUGAAACGUGGGCGAAGAAACGGCGCUUUCUGCUCGCAUACUGUCAUCGAUUAAAAAAAGAUCGGUUACUCUGGCUUGCGCAAGUAUACGUCAACAUUAGGGAAAAACACGCAAGCUAUCCUAAGGAGUUGAUGGAUGAGGUUGCUGCAUUGGCAGCUGGCCUUGGUCAACUGUUCCCAAAUGAACAGCCAGCUUCUAGGAACCGCGAUAUGAACAACCAGCCAGCCUCUAGGAACCGGGAAAUGAACAACCAGCCAGCUUCUAGGAACCGCGAUAUGAACAACCAGCCAGCCUCUAGGAACCGAA